rnacentral:rRNA from 1 species
GACGAACGCUGACGGCGUGCUUAACACAUGCAAGUCGAAGGGAGUGGCGAACGGGUGAGUAACACGUGAGUAACCUGCCCUUUUCUUUGGGAUAAGCCUGGGAAACUGGGUCUCAUACUGGAUGGGUUGGGAUGGGCUCGCAGCUUAUCAGCUUGUUGGUGGGGUGAUGGCUUACCAAGGCUUUGGCGGGUAGCCGGCCUGAGAGGGGGGUCGGUCACCCGGGGACUGACAUACGGCCUAGACGCCUACGGGAGGAAGCAGAGGGGGAUAUUGCAGAAUGGAAGAAAGACUAAUGCAGCGACGUCGUGUGGGGGCUGAAGGCCUUAGAGUUGUAAACUCCUUUCGCCCGAGGAACGGUAGUGGGUAAAGAAGCGCCGGCUAACUACGUGCCAGCAGCCGCGGUAAUAC